ACGAACGCUGGCGGCGUGCCUAAUACAUGCAAGUCGAACGGUCUUUCUAUGGAAGCUUGCUUCCACUGAGAAGAUAGUGGCGAACGGGUGAGUAACACGUGGGUAACCUGCCCAUAAGAGGGGGAUAACAUCCGGAAACGGGUGCUAAUACCGCAUAGUUUUCUUGAUCGCAUGAUUGAGAAAGGAAAGACGGCCUUUGUGCUGUCGCUUAUGGAUGGACCCGCGGCGUAUUAGUUAGUUGGUGAGGUAACGGCUCACCAAGACGAUGAUACGUAGCCGACCUGAGAGGGUGAUCGGCCACAUUGGGACUGAGACACGGCCCAAACUCCUACGGGAGGCAGCAGUAGGGAAUCUUCCGCAAUGGACGAAAGUCUGACGGAGCAACGCCGCGUGAGUGAAGAAAGGUUUUCGGAUCGUAAAACUCUGUUGUCAGAGAAGAACAAGUUGGAGAGUAACUGCUCCAGCCUUGACGGUAUCUGACCAGAAAGCCACGGCUAACUACGUGCCAGCCGCUGC
rnacentral:rRNA from 1 species